AGAGUUUGAUCCUGGCUCAGAGCGAACGCUGGCGGCAGGCCUAAAACAUGCAAGUCGAACGAACCCUUCGGGGUUAGUGGCGGACGGGUGAGUAACACGUGGGAACGUGCCCUUUGGUUCGGAACAACUCAGGGAAACUUGAGCUAAUACCGGAUGUGCCCUUCGGGGGAAAGAUUUAUCGCCAUUGGAGCGGCCCGCGUCUGAUUAGCUAGUUGGUGAGGUAAAGGCUCACCAAGGCUACGAUCAGUAGCUGGUCUGAGAGGAUGAUCAGCCACACUGGGACUGAGACACGGCCCAGACUCCUACGGGAGGCAGCAGUUAGGAAUCUUGCGCAAUGGGCGAAAGCCUGACGCAGCCAUGCCGCGUGAAUGAUGAAGGUCUUAGGAUUGUAAAAUUCUUUCAGCGGGGACGAUAAUGACGGUACCCGCAGAAGAAGCUCCGGCUAACUUCGUGCCAGCAGCCGCGGUAAUACGAAGGGGGCUAGCGUUGCUCGGAAUUACUGGGCGUAAAGGGCGCGUAGGCGGACAGCUAAGUCAGAGGUGAAAGCCCAGGGCUCAACCUUGGAACUGCCUUUGAUACUGGCUGUCUUGAGUUCGGGAGAGGUGUGUGGAACUCCGAGUGUAGAGGUGAAAUUCGUAGAUAUUCGGAAGAACACCAGUGGCGAAGGCGACACACUGGCCCGAUACUGACGCUGAGGCGCGAAAGCGUGGGGAGCAAACAGGAUUAGAUACCCUAGUAGUCC
rnacentral:rRNA from 1 species